rnacentral:rRNA from 1 species
UGGGGAAUUUUGCACAAUGGGGGCAACCCUGAUGCAGCGACGCCGCGUGAUUUAGAAGGCCUUCGGGUUGUAAAAAUCUUUUGUAUGGGAAGAAAAUGACAGUACCAUACGAAUAAGGACCGGCUAAUUACGUGCCAGCAGCCGCGGUAAUACGUAAGGUCCGAGCGUUGUCCGGAAUCAUUGGGCGUAAAGGGUACGUAGGCGGAUAAGCAAGUUAGAAGUGAAAUCCUAUAGCUCAACUAUAGUAAGCCUUUAAAACUGCUCAUCUUGAGGUAUGGAAGGGAAAGUGGAAUUCCUAGUGUAGCGGUGAAAUGCGCAGAUAUUAGGAGGAAUACCGGUGGCGAAGGCGACUUUCUGGCCAUAAACUGACGCUGAGGUACGAAAGCGUGGGUAGCAAACAGG